rnacentral:sRNA from 1 species
UUCAAGUUAUAUUUUUUUUAUAUUUCCAUUGUGGCCCACAAAAAUUGAGUUUGAUUUGGGUGUUAUGGAAAAAUUUGCACCUUAAAUAUUUAAAAAAGAAACAUUUCCACCUACCUUUCAUUACCCCUUCAGCCCCUCUAGUCAGCAUAAACAAUGGACAAAUUGUAUUUAGAAUACGUGAUGUUAGAACGGUUGGUUGGAGACUUGUGUUGUUAGCAAUUUCAUCAUCAUCAUCAUUGUCUGGGCGCAGUAAGAAAAUCACAAAAAAUGGAAUUAAUAAUAAAGCUCUGGAUGGGUUUGAUGGCUCUUUGAGGGCUAGGCAGAAAAACAAUUCGACAGACAGGCGGACCGUCAUGAAGUAAGUUACUCAGGCCGAAAAUGGUUGACGGAUUGACUAUGAAUGAAACGAAAAGGAUGUUUUAUGACAAAAUCAAAUUAACAACCACAAAUCACAGUCAUUUAGAACAAUUCAAAUUCUAUUUCGCUUCGUUUCGUUUAAUCUGUAGUCUUGGUCUUUAUUAUCAUUAUAAAAUCACUUAAUUCUUGUCCCCUUUAA